rnacentral:rRNA from 1 species
GACGAACGCUGGCGGCGUGCUUAACACAUGCAAGUCGAACGAAGUGGCGAACGGGUGAGUAACGCGUAAUCAACCUGCCCUUCAGAGGGGGACAACAGUUGGAAACGACUGCUAAUACCGCAUACUGAAGGAGGGGAUUGCGUCUGAUUAGCUAGUUGGAGGGGUAAAGGCCCACCAAGGCGAUGGUCAGUAGGCGGGCUGAGAGGGAGGACCGCCAAAAUGGGACUGAGACACGGCCCAGGCCCCUACGGGAGGCAGCAGUGGGGAAUCUGCCGCAAUGGGCGGAAGUCUGGCGGAGCAACGCCGGCUGAGGGGUGGCGGCCUUCGGGUUGGAAAGCUCUUUUAAUCGGGGAGCGGUACCGGAAGAAGAAGCCACGGCUAACUACGUGCCAGCAGCCGCGGUAAUUC